rnacentral:misc_RNA from 1 species
UCUGUUCGAGCGCCGUUUUCUAUCUCAAGCUAUAGCUUGGUGUUGAGUAGAGUCAUUAGACUUUAUUUAAAACUUAUUGGCAAUCAGUCUUAUAAGUCGGUAGUUUGACAAAAAUCUAGCUACAUGUCUCAAAGAUUAGAUUAGCAUAUCAAUCUGAAAAUGAUGGCCUCGGAUCAGAUAGGGUUACCCGCUGAACUUAA